rnacentral:sRNA from 1 species
UAUAAUAAUUAUGAAGGCGCAGUAUUCUAGUCGGACGAACUGCUUGGAAGACGUUAAAAGCGUUAAAUGGCACAUCUGUGAAGUUUCUGGUGUUGGCUUUGGUUGCCCAAACUGGGGCUUAUGCUGGAAGUUAAGAUUUUUGGGAGCACCAUAAUGGCAUAUGGUGCCCAACCCAAUUAUCGUGGAGACUCAAAAGCGGUGGUCUAUUUGUGAUUACCAUUUGAGAAGAACCUGCAUUGCGGUAAAAAAAUUGCUGUGUGCAGUGUAGCCAGCCUUGAGUGGAUAAGUUGGGAUAAAGUUAAUUGGAAAUUCUUUUUGGCCAAAUUGAGUUUCCGGACCAAUUUUAAACUGGCUAUAACUUUUGAAAUUCUCUCUGCAAAAAAGGACAAGAGCAAUAAUUCGUCUGUUUGAGAAAUUCUCUAGACUGUUCGCAAUUUGCGUUUCACUUCGGGGAUUAUAGUGUGGUCUAAGUGGCGAUUCGGUGAUGUCUACCCCUUAAAAGGAAACUGCUUGUUCGGCGACGACAAGUGGGGUGGCGGGAAAUCCAACCGAACCUAUGCUGCAAGGUUUACUCGAAGGGAAGCCUUU